rnacentral:rRNA from 1 species
UACAGAGGGGGCAAGCGUUAUUCGGAAUUAUUGGGCGUAAAGGGCGCGUAGGCGGCUUGGCAAGUGGAUGGUGAAAUCCCUCGGCUUAACCGAGGAACUGCCGUCCAAACUGCUUCGCUUGAGACCGGGAGAGGUGAGUGGAAUUCCCAGUGUAGCGGUGAAAUGCGUAGAUAUCUGGAGGAACACCGGUGGCGAAGGCGGCAUCCUGGACCAACACUGACGCUGAGUGAGCGAAAGCCAGGGGAGCAAACGGG